GUGGCGGACGGGUGAGUAACGCGUGGGUAACCUGCCUUAUACAGGGGGAUAACAGUCAGAAAUGGCUGCUAAUACCGCAUAAGCGCACAGAGCUGCAUGGCUCAGUGUGAAAAACUCCGGUGGUAUAAGAUGGACCCGCGUUGGAUUAGCUAGUUGGUGGGGUAACGGCCCACCAAGGCGACGAUCCAUAGCCGGCCUGAGAGGGUGAACGGCCACAUUGGGACUGAGACACGGCCCAGACUCCUACGGGAGGCAGCAGUGGGGAAUAUUGCACAAUGGGGGAAACCCUGAUGCAGCGACGCCGCGUGAAGGAAGAAGUAUCUCGGUAUGUAAACUUCUAUCAGCAGGGAAGAUAGUGACGGUACCUGACUAAGAAGCCCCGGCUAACUACGUGCCAGCAGCCGCGGUAAUACGUAGGGGGCAAGCGUUAUCCGGAUUUACUGGGUGUAAAGGGAGCGUAGACGGUGUGGCAAGUCUGAUGUGAAAGGCAUGGGCUCAACCUGUGGACUGCAUUGGAAACUGUCAUACCUGAGUGCCGGAGGGGUAAGCGGAAUUCCUAGUGUAGCGGUGAAAUGCGUAGAUAUUAGGAGGAACACCAGUGGCGAAGGCGGCUUACUGGACG
rnacentral:rRNA from 1 species